rnacentral:rRNA from 1 species
GAUGAACGCUGGCGGCGUGCCUAAUACAUGCAAGUCGAGCGAACGGACGAGAAGCUUGCUUCUCUGAUGUUAGCGGCGGACGGGUGAGUAACACGUGGAUAACCUACCUAUAAGACUGGGAUAACUUCGGGAAACCGGAGCUAAUACCGGAUGAUAUUUUGAACCGCAUGGUUCAACAGUGAAAGACGGUCUUGCUGUCACUUAUAGAUGGAUCCGCGCUGCAUUAGCUAGUUGGUAAGGUAACGGCUUACCAAGGCAACGAUGCAUAGCCGACCUGAGAGGGUGAUCGGCCACACUGGAACUGAGACACGGUCCAGACUCCUACGGGAGGCAGCAGUAGGGAAUCUUCCGCAAUGGGCGAAAGCCUGACGGAGCAACGCCGCGUGAGUGAUGAAGGUCUUCGGAUCGUAAAACUCUGUUAUUAGGGAAGAACAUAUGUGUAAGUAACUGUGCACAUCUUGACGGUACCUAAUCAGAAAGCCACGGCUAACUACGUG